rnacentral:rRNA from 1 species
UACCAGCUCUCCGAGUGGUGUGGAUGUUUAUUGGGCCUAAAGCAUCCGUAGCUGGUUGGACAAGUCCCCUGUUAAAUCCACCGAUUUAAUCGUUGGAGUGCGGGGGAUACUGUUCGGCUAGGGGACGGGAGAGGCAGACGGUAUUUUCGGGGUAGGGGUGAAAUCCUAUAAUCCCGGGAAGACCACCAGUGGCGAAGGCUGUCUGCUAGAACGCGCCCGACGGUGAGGGAUGAAAGCUGGGGGAGCGAACCGGAUUAGAUACCCGGGUAGUCCCAGCUGUAAACGAUGCAGGCUAGGUGUUUGGGCGGCCACGUGCCGCUCUAGUGCCGCAGGGAAGCCGUUAAGCCUGCCGCCUGGGGAGUACGGCCGCAAGGCUGAAACUUAAAGGAAUUGGCGGGGGAGCACCACAAGGGGUGAAGCUUGCGGUUU